rnacentral:rRNA from 1 species
AGAAUCAACGCUGGCGGCGUGCCUAACACAUGCAAGUCGAACGAGAAAGUGGAGCAAUCCAUGAGUAAAGUGGCGCACGGGUGAGUAACACGUGACUAACCUACCCUUGAGUGGGGAAUAACUUCGGGAAACCGGGGCUAAUACCGCAUAACACCUACGGGUCAAAGGAGCAAUUCGCUUAAGGAGGGGGUCGCGGCAGAUUAGUUAGUUGGCGGGGUAAUGGCCCACCAAGACGGUGAUCUGUAU